rnacentral:tRNA from 1 species
GUAGCAGCUCAGUGGUAGAGUGCUUGCCUAGCAUGUGUGAGACACUGGGUUCGAUCCUCAGCACCACA